rnacentral:misc_RNA from 1 species
AAGUCGUAACAAGGUUUCCGUAGGUGAACCUGCGGAAGGAUCAUUAACACGUAUUCAACGUUAAACCCCCCGUGAACCUUCAGUGCGCUCGCACUUUCUUAGAAAAGGUAGCAAUCCCUGGUAAAUGACCCGGUCGCCGGCCGUGUCGGCCUCUAGCGAUCGUGACUGCGCCAUUCGUACAGAGCUGGUGACACUUUCAGACACCAACAAGCAGAGGAAUGCCAGGCCACUUGCCUCAAGUCUACGCAGAAGUCCCUGAAUCAAAACUGUUCGGCAAUGACUGGGCGCGAGCCCCCCUCGUCAAAACGGGCCUGCGCUUAAUUGUGCGGCCACCAAACUCGAACAACUGUUAACAAUGGAUAUCUUGGUUCUC